rnacentral:rRNA from 1 species
GGUUAAGCGACUAAGCGUACACGGUGGAUGCCCUGGCAGUCAGAGGCGAUGAAGGACGUGCUAAUCUGCGAUAAGCGUCGGUAAGGUGAUAUGAACCGUUAUAACCGGCGAUUUCCGAAUGGGGAAACCCAGUGUGAUUCGUCACACUAUCAUUAACUGAAUCCAUAGGUUAAUGAGGCGAACCGGGGGAACUGAAACAUCUAAGUACCCCGAGGAAAAGAAAUCAACCGAGAUUCCCCCAGUAGCGGCGAGCGAACGGGGAGCAGCCCAGAGCCUGAAUCAGUGUGUGUGUUAGUGGAAGCGUCUGGAAAGGCGUGCGAUACAGGGUGACAGCCCCGUACACAAAAAUGCACAUACUGUGAGCUCGAUGAGUAGGGCGGGACACGUGGUAUCCUGUCUGAAUAUGGGGGGACCAUCCUCCAAGGCUAAAUACUCCUGACUGACCGAUAGUGAACCAGUACCGUGAGGGAAAGGCGAAAAGAACCCCGGCGAGGGGAGUGAAAAAGAACCUGAAACCGUGUACGUACAAGCAGUGGGAGCACGCUUAGGCGUGUGACUGCGUACCUUUUGUAUAAUGGGUCAGCGACUUAUAUUCUGUAGCAAGGUUAACCGAAUAGGGGAGCCGAAGGGAAACCGAGUCUUAACUGGGCGUUAAGUUGCAGGGUAUAGACCCGAAACCCGGUGAUCUAGCCAUGGGCAGGUUGAAGGUUGGGUAACACUAACUGGAGGACCGAACCGACUAAUGUUGAAAAAUUAGCGGAUGACUUGUGGCUGGGGGUGAAAGGCCAAUCAAACCGGGAGAUAGCUGGUUCUCCCCGAAAGCUAUUUAGGUAGCGCCUCGUGAAUUCAUCUCCGGGGGUAGAGCACUGUUUCGGCAAGGGGGUCAUCCCGACUUACCAACCCGAUGCAAACUGCGAAUACCGGAGAAUGUUAUCACGGGAGACACACGGCGGGUGCUAACGUCCGUCGUGAAGAGGGAAACAACCCAGACCGCCAGCUAAGGUCCCAAAGUCAUGGUUAAGUGGGAAACGAUGUGGGAAGGCCCAGACAGCCAGGAUGUUGGCUUAGAAGCAGCCAUCAUUUAAAGAAAGCGUAAUAGCUCACUGGUCGAGUCGGCCUGCGCGGAAGAUGUAACGGGGCUAAACCAUGCACCGAAGCUGCGGCAGCGACGCUUAUGCGUUGUUGGGUAGGGGAGCGUUCUGUAAGCCUGUGAAGGUGUGCUGUGAGGUAUGCUGGAGGUAUCAGAAGUGCGAAUGCUGACAUAAGUAACGAUAAAGCGGGUGAAAAGCCCGCUCGCCGGAAGACCAAGGGUUCCUGUCCAACGU